CCUGGUUAUUAAAAACAUGGCUUGUUGAUUAUAAUUUUAAGUYUGACCUGCCCCCUGAGGAGUUAAAUGGCCGCGGUAUCUUGACCGUGCAAAGGUAGCAUAAUCAUUAGUUUUUUAAUUGAAAGCUGGAAUGAAAGGUUUGAUGAGAAGGAGACUGUCUCUAUAAAAAUUUAUUAGAAUUUUAUUUUUAAGUAAGAAAGCUUAAAUAUAUAUAGAAGACGAGAAGACCCUAUAGAGUUUUAUAUCUAUAUUAGAUAUUGGAUUGUAGGUAUUUAAAAUCUGUUUUUUUAAUAUAAGUAUUUUGUUGGGGUGAUUGAAAAAUUAGUAGAACUUUUUUUGUAUUUAUACAUUGAUUUAUGAGUAAUUGAUCCUGAGGUUUAGAUUAUAAGAGUAAAUUACCUUAGGGAUAACAGCGUAAUUUUUUUUAGAGCUCUUAUCGAAAAAAAAGAUUGCGACCUCGAUGUUGGAUUAAAAUUAAUUAUUGGUGUAGAAGCUGAUAUAUUAGGUCUGUUCGACCUUUAAAAUUUUACAUGAUCUGAGUUUAAACCGGCGUGAGCCAGGUCGGUUUCUAUCU
rnacentral:rRNA from 1 species